rnacentral:rRNA from 1 species
GAUGAACGCUGACAGAAUGCUUAACACAUGCAAGUCGACUGUGGCGGACGUGUGAGUCACGCGUACAGAACUUGCCUCACAGAUAGGGACAACAUUUGGAAACGAAUGCUAAUACCUGAUACUGUGAGAGAGCUUUGCGUCCCAUUAGCUCGUUGGAGAGGUAACGGCUCACCAAGGCGAGGAUGGGUAGCCGGCCUGAGAGGGUGAUCGGCCACAAGGGGACUGAGACACGGCCCUGACUCAUACUGUAGGAAGCAGUGGGGAAUAUUGGACAAUGGACCAAAGUCUGAUCCAGCAAUUCUGUGUGCACGAUGAAGUUUUCGGAAUGUAAAGUGCUUUCAGUGGGGAAGCGGUACCAACAGAAGAAGUGACGGCUAAAUACGUGCCAGCAGCCGCGGUAAUUC